CAAUAGCGUAUAUUAAAGUUGUUGCAGUUAAAAAGCUCGUAGUUGGAUUUCGGGGUGGCCUGGCUGGUACGCCGCAAGGUGAGUACUGGUCAGCCGCCCUUCCUCUCGAAAGCCCCGACUGCUCUUUACUGCAGUGGUCGGGUAGUUCGGGACGUUUACUUUGAAAAAAUUAGAGUGUUCAAGGCAGGCUAUCGCCUGAAUACAUUAGCAUGGAAUAAUGGAAGAGGACCUCGGUCCUAUUUUGUUGGUUUCUAGGGCCGAAGUAAUGAUUAAGAGGGACAGUUGGGGGCAUUCGUAUUUAAUUGUCAGAGGUGAAAUUCUUGGAUUUAUGAAAGACGAACUAGUGCGAAAGCAUUUGCCAAGGAUGUUUUCAUUAA
rnacentral:rRNA from 1 species